rnacentral:pre_miRNA from 7 species
CUGGGGUAUGGGACGGAUGGUCGACCAGCUGGAAAGUAAUUGUUUCUAAUGUACUUCACCUGGUCCACUAGCCGUCGGUGCCCGCUGCAG